GUCAUAACUUCUACUUCUCUCUUGUCUGGUUUAGUGUUCUAUUUGACCAGCGUUUCGAAGAGAGUCAGAAAUCAUGUGACGGAAUCUGAGAUCAUCCAUUUGAUACAAGCUUGCAUGUAGCCAGAGGUGUCAACGUUAUGCUGAGUUUCAGAAAGGAAGUGGACAAUAAAGACUGCCUACAAAGUGAUGGAAAGACAGAGACUCAGUGAGAGGAGGUGACGACAAGGAGAAAAAAUGCCGGUACCUCCUCCACCUCCCCCUCCGCCACCCCCCACCUUCUCUCAGGCAAACACUGAGAAGCCUGUCUUGAAUAAAUCGGCGCAGCAUGGCAGGAAUGCUCUACUGUCCGACAUCAGCAAAGGAGCAAGGCUAAAGAAGUCAGUUACUAAUGACCGUAGCGCCCCCAUACUUGACAGUAAGAUCCUGCACCUUAUGGAGUUACA
rnacentral:lncRNA from 1 species